rnacentral:rRNA from 1 species
UACAGAGGGUGCAAGCGUUAAUCGGAUUUACUGGGCGUAAAGCGUGUGUAGGUGGCUUCCUAAGUCGGUUGUGAAAUCCCUGGGCUCAACCUGGGAAUUGCAGUCGAUACUGGGAGGCUUGAAUCCGGGAGAGGAAUGUGGAAUUCCAGGUGUAGCGGUGAAAUGCGUAGAUAUCUGGAGGAACACCGGUGGCGAAGGCGGCGUCCUGGACCAACACUGACACUGAGGAGCGAAAGCCAGGGGAGCAAACGGG